AGCGCAGACGGUUAUUUAAGCAAGAUGUGAAAGCCCCGGGCUCAACCUGGGAACUGCGUUUUGAACUGGGUAACUAGAGUGUGUCAGAGGGGGGUAGGAAUUCCACGUGUAGCAGUGAAAUGCGUAGAGAUGUGGAGGAACACCGAUGGCGAAGGCAGCCCCCUCGGGAUAACACUGACGUUCAUGCUCGAAAGCGUGGGUAGCAAACA
rnacentral:rRNA from 1 species